CCCAGGACUACAAGGCGGUUUUAA
rnacentral:piRNA from 1 species